rnacentral:tRNA from 1 species
GACAGCGUGCCCGAGCGGUUAAGGGGAUUGACUCGAAAUCAAUUAGGCUGUGCCUGCACAGGUUCGAAUCCUGUCGCUGUCG